rnacentral:rRNA from 1 species
GCUUAGAAGCAGCCACUCAUUAAAAGAGUGCGUAAUAGCUCACUGGUCGAGUGACUCUGCGCGGAAAAUAUAACGGGGCUAAGCAUGAAACCGAAGCUUGGGCUUGUCUUUAAGACAGGGGUAGGGGAGCGUCGAGUAUGGGGUGAAGUCAGAGCGAGAGCACUGGUGGACUGUACUGGAGUGAGAAUGCCGGAAUGAGUAGCGAGAAUUAUGUGGGAAUCAUAAUGGCCGAAAAUCUAAGGUUUCUUGGGGAAGGUUCGUCCGCCCAAGGUAAGUCGGGAGCUAAGCUCAGGCCGAGAGGCGUAGGCGAUGCACAUACGGUAGAAAUUCCGUAACCACCGAAACUUAAACAGAGGGACACUUCGAAAUAGCGGAACCCGGGCGUUGGUUGACCCGGGCGUAAGGGAGCGAAAUUAGAGUAGCGAAGUCCGCGAUGUUCGGAGGCGAGAAAAGCUCUGAGGUAUGCUAAGGUGCCCGUACCGCAAACCGACACAGGUAGAUGAGGAGAGAAUCCUAAGGCCAACGGGAGAAGGGUUGUUAAGGAACUCGGCAAAUUGACCCCGUAACUUCGGAAGAAGGGGAGCCUCGAAAGAGGCCGCAGUGAAUAGGCCCAAGCAACUGUUUACCAAAAACACAGGUCUAUGCUAAAUCGAAAGAUGACGUAUAUGGGCUGACGCCUGCCCGGUGCCGGAAGGUUAAGAGGAGAUGUCAGGCAACGAAGCAUUGAAUUUAAGCCCCGGUAAACGGCGGCCGUAACUAUAACGGUCCUAAGGUAGCGAAAUUCCUUGUCAGGUAAGUUCUGACCCGCACGAAUGGCGUAAUGAUUUGGGCACUGUCUCAACAGCCCGCCCGGCGAAAUUGUAGUACUGGUGAAGAUGCCAGUUACCCGCAACUAGACGGAAAGACCCCAUGGAGCUUUACUGCAGCUUAAUACUGAGAUUCGGUAAAUCAUGUACAGGAUAGGUGGGAGACAUAGAAACACGGCCGUCAGGUCGUGCGGAGUCGCCCUUGGGAUACCACCCUUGAUUUGCUGGGUUUCUAACCUGCGGCCGUGAAUCCGGUCGGGGGACACUGUUAGGCGGGCAGUUUGACUGGGGCGGUCGCCUCCAAAAGAGUAACGGAGGCGCUCAAAGGUUCGUUCAGCACGGACGGAAAUCGUGCAUUGAGUGUAAACGCAUAAACGAGCCUAACUGCGAGACCGACGGGUCGAGCAGUAACGAAAGUUGGAGUUAGUGAUC